rnacentral:lncRNA from 1 species
GAUACCAACAAUGCCAGUCUCAGGAAAGGGCUGGAGCGGAAAGAGAGCCGAAUCCUAUCACACCUUGUGUUCCAGACACUGUUUCAAACGGGCUGUGAAGUCAUAUCAGAAUUCCCAACAGUGACAACUUAAAGGAGAAAAAAUGCAUGGUGGCUCAUGGUUCCCAGGGAGAGCUGUCCAUCAAAAAGAGGGAAGGUGUGGCUGAGUCUGUGACCUGAGAACGUGGAGCAGAGGCUGCUCCUAUGUAAGAAACAGAGAGCUCAGUCAGGAGCCAGAAUCUCUGCCCCGGUAACCCACUCCUGCUGGUGAGGCCACAGCCUCCAAACCGGCGCCACCAGCAGGGGCUAGGUGUUCAUACACAUGUAGCUGUGGUGAGAGUGAGGAUUAGAGAGGGGGACACCUGGCUGGCUAGCCAGAGAGAGACACAGAGACAGAACAAAGACCUACAGCUCCUGACCCUGCCUCCUUCCUACCCAGGGUCAAUUAGGCCUAGAAUUUCCUGUAGGCCUUGUCCUCAGCUGGAGGCAAUAAAUCAUGCUAUGGGUUUCUGUUGCAUAGUGGUUGUCAGUCUGACAUCUCCCACACAUUGUGCUCAUACCCACGCGGGUACAAGGCCGUAUGUCUAUCUGCACGGGAAUCCUGGGGGCACUUAGCUCUCAAGUGCAAGUGUACUUUUCGAUUAAAGUCCCUUUUCUCUGUCUCAAGGC